rnacentral:rRNA from 1 species
AACGAACGCUGGCGGCAUGCCUAACACAUGCAAGUCGAACGGGAUCCUGGCUUCGGUCAGGUGAGAGUGGCGGACGGGUGAGUAACGCGUGGGAACCUGCCCAGUGGUGGGGGAUAACUGCGGGAAACUGCAGCUAAUACCGCAUGAGCCCCGAGAGGGGAAAGAUUUAUCGCCAUUGAGGGGCCCGCGUUCGAUUAGGUAGUUGGUGAGGUAACGGCUCACCAAGCCGACGAUCGAUAGCUGGUCUGAGAGGAUGAUCAGCCACACUGGGACUGAGAUACGGCCCAGACUCCUACGGGAGGCAGCAGU